GCCAAACCUCGGGUGGGCACCGUGACGGCUUCUAUCCCUCUACCAUCCAUCCCUUCGGUACGGUACAACACCUUGGGAUUCGGACCCCUGUUAGAGGAAUUAACCUCACGUGGGGCAAACGUCGGCUCAAUUCUAAAUCCCGAAACCGCAGGGAAAACGGACGUUAGAAGGCAAACCCAAAAGGCGAUCCAUGGCACAGCCAACCUCAACAGCCGAAACCAAAACCAAGAGGAAGGCCAACCCAACAUCGGGGCCCCCAGCACACCCCGGUAAACGGGUUAUCCACCAGACCACACAGAAAGCAGCCAACCUAAGUCCGCAGCCGAGACAAACCAGCAGAAGUCACCUGCAAAAGCCUACUAGGCGGAGCCACUUCCGUUCGGCAAUCGCAAAGGCGCCACACACUGGAAUCCCAGCACCACUCAGCACCUCUUAGUAAUCCCUGUCACUAUAAACGUACCGGCCCGGACAGAUACAAGUAUAGUGACAGCCGGCAAGCCCCCUCACCUCGUCAAGGUGGGAUACUCUCGAGGGGGGAUGGGGACGGAAGGAACUUUUAGUGGCCAGCCGGCCGUGUUCUAAAAAACGCCGAAAGAAUCCCGGGCGUAAUUCGAAUUCAGCUGAGAUAAAGGCCGGUUCACACUGCGGCGAGUGCGCGAGAGACGCGCGUUUAAACGCGAAGAUCAC
rnacentral:lncRNA from 1 species